AGUGAACGCUGGCGGUAGGCCUAACACAUGCAAGUCGAACGGCAGCACAGUAAGAGCUUGCUCUUACGGGUGGCGAGUGGCGGACGGGUGAGGAAUACAUCGGAAUCUACUUUUUCGUGGGGGAUAACGUAGGGAAACUUACGCUAAUACCGCAUACGACCUACGGGUGAAAGCAGGGGAUCUUCGGACCUUGCGCGAUUGAAUGAGCCGAUGUCGGAUUAGCUAGUUGGCGGGGUAAAGGCCCACCAAGGCGACGAUCCGUAGCUGGUCUGAGAGGAUGAUCAGCCACACUGGAACUGAGACACGGUCCAGACGCCUACGGGAGGCAGCAGUGGGGAAUAUUGGACAAUGGGCGCAAGCCUGAUCCAGCCAUACCGCGUGGGUGAAGAAGGCCUUCGGGUUGUAAAGCCCUUUUGUUGGGAAAGAAAAGCAGCAGGUUAAUACCCCGCUGUUCUGACGGUACCCAAAGAAUAAGCACCGGCGAACUUCGU
rnacentral:rRNA from 1 species